rnacentral:lncRNA from 1 species
CCGGCCGCGGUGGUGGGCGGGAGGAUGGUGGGCGGGCUCCGAGCCCAGCUCCACUGGCCCCGGCCGCGGGGCUCGCCCCUCCGUCCCCAAACGACCGUCUCCGCUGCCAUGAGAUGCCGACAGCCUGUGCGCUGGCCGCCACCCCCUGCUCCAUCAGGUGCUGGAAUCUGAGUAAAAGCCUGGGCGCGAGCUCCCAGCCCCGGGGCCUGCCACCGGCUCCACGAAGCGGGCAGCUCCAGCGGCCGCCGGGAGAAGGAAGGGCGACCGGGGGAGACGGGUCGCAGGGACAGCACGUGGCGGAAAGUUAGCCCCGGACUAGCACGCCCCACCCGGAGAAGCCGGCCUGGAAGGGGCUGCGGACCACCAGGCGGAGCGGUGGGCGACCGAAGUGCGGCUGGGCUGGCCUCCUCGUCUCCGCACUGGAAGAAUUGCCCUUCCGCAAGUCUUCCCUUCCCACAUGGGGGCCCUCCAGGCCGCACCUCGGUCGCCCACCGCUUCCCUUGAGAAGGGAGACUAAAGACAGGCAUCUGGAAGCUGUCACUGUGGCGCGCGGGCAGACAGGGGAUCCCAUUGGAGAGGAAGAGCCGUAGUAGUCGCUGCUGCCUUCGGCCGACCCAACGGCCGCCUGCUUGGGAGGAAGAAAAAGAACGCCCCCGCUGAAGAAUUAAGGCAGCCAUUGGUUGCUCUAGGGGGUUACAAGAUGGGCAGUACAAUAGAGGAUGGACUGGAGUUGGAAAAGACUAAAGCAGCAAGUUUGAUAAGGAGGCUACAGCAAUAGUCCAGGUGAAAGACGCAAGAGCCCAAAAUGCAGCAGUGGCCAAGGGAAUGGAUCUGAGAUAAAGUUCAGAAGAUAGAGUUGGCAGGGCAGGUGAGUUUAUCUUUAAUCCAGGAGAAGAGAAGAAGGCCACAUGAAGAUGGAGCAAGAGAUUGGAGUGAUGUGGCCACAAGCCAAGGAAGCUGAGGAAUGAAGACAGCUAUCAGAAGCUGGAAGAGGAAAAGAAUUCUCUCUUGGGGUCUGCAGAGGGAGAACAGCCCUGCCAACACUUCCAUUUCCAAUGUCUGGACUCUAGAACUGUGAGAAAAUAAAUUCCCAUUAUUUUAAGGAACACAGUUUGUGAUACUGCAUUACAGCAGCUCCAUGAAACAAAUACAUUUUGUUAUUCCAAGUCCUCUUCACAACAAAGUCUUUGCUAGUGGUGAACCAAACACAGUCCCACCAUCAUGAGCCACUGUUCUGGAUGAGGGGGCAACACAGUUCAGACACUGGUCAUCUCUAUUUAAUGUCUAAUGGGCAUCUCAAACCUAACUUUCUCCCAGUGGAAAUGCCUGGAGGUACGUGGAGAUGGAAAGCUGACCUAGCCAAGGAGUUCAGCAAAGAUCCCUGGGAGGAGGUGACAUCUGGACAUCUGCACAGAAUAAUGAGGCUGGGCUAAGGCAGUGACUGAGGGAGGCACUCUUUUUUGGUUUUUCUUUUCUUUUCUUUUGUGUAGGAAGGAAAGAAUAGCCAGGAGAGAUAGAGGAGAAAGAGGAUAAAGAUAGACAGGAAAGAGGUAACACAAGAAGUCAGGACCUGCGCUUGAGGGGCAGAAGUCAAGUCGGGCUAAGGUGAGAAGGCAGAACAGGGUUCAGGGUCUUUGAAGAGAAACAAGUACAGAGCUGGAACUAAGUGAUGCUGACUCCAGACUAAAACCCUCUGGGUUUGAAUCCUGCCUCUGCCACUUACUUAUUCAUUACAAAAUAGCGAGAAAUUACAUUAUCUGGAUCUUGGUCUCUUCAACUAUAAAACAAAAAUAAUAAUAGCUCCUAUCUCAUAGGAUGCUAUUAGGAGUACUAAGUAUAUUAACACCUGUAAAGCA